UCUGUCCGCUGAUGGGCAGGCAUGAAUUAUGAAACCACUCACGCAGGUUGAGAGGUUGCCCUGAGCUGGGGGGGUGCUGCCCCCAGUGUCUGCUCAAGGUGGUUGGGGGAUGGAUUGCUCCCCACUCGGGAAAGAAGGGGGAAUAUGAACAGGAAGCGGGCUGUGCAGGCUGGAGGUGCCCUAGUGUCAGGCUGAAGGCUGGGAGCCGACAUCUAAUCAUCAAGAUGAUGGAACUCUGAGGGCUGAAGGGAUGUUAAAGCACUGAGGGCCACAGCACUUGUUCUCAUCAACAUCAUCAUCAGCAUCAGCAUCAUUGUCACCAUAACCAGCAUCAUUGGCAUCAGCAUAAUCAGCAUCACUACCCUCAUCAUCAUCAGUAGCAUCAAUAUCACCAUCAUCAGCA